UACGUAGGAUGCAAGCGUUGUCCGGAAUUAUUGGGCGUAAAGAGCGCGCAGGCGGUCUAUCAAGUCAGAUGUGAAAUAUCCAGGCUUAACCUGGAGGGGUCAUUUGAAACUGGUAGACUAGAGUACAGCAGAGGAUAGUGGAAUUCCCGGUGUGAGUGGUGAAAUGCGUAGAUAGUCGGGAGGAACACCAGUGGCGAAGGCGACUAUCUGGGCUGAAACUGACGCUGAGGCGCGAAGGCUAGGGGAGCAAACAGG
rnacentral:rRNA from 1 species